rnacentral:rRNA from 1 species
GAUGAACGCUGGCGGCGUGCCUAAUACAUGCAAGUCGAGCGAAGCGGGGACGGGUGAGUAACACGUGGAUAACCUCCUAUAAGACUGGGAUAACUUCGGGAAACCGGGGCUAAACCCGUUACUUCUAGUUUGAUCCGCGCUGCAUUAGCGAGUUGGUAAGGUAACGGCUUACCAAGGCAACGAUGCAUAGCCGACCUGAGAGGGUGAUCGGCCACACUGGAACUGAGACACGGGCCAGACUCCUACGGGAGGCAGCAGUAGGGAAUAUUCCGCAAUGGGCGAAAGCCUGACGGAGCAACGCCGCGUGAGUGAUGAAGGUCUUCGGAUCGUAAAACUCUGUUAGUAGGGAAGCGGUACCUAAUCAGAAAGCAACGGCUAACUACGUGCCAGCAGCCGCGGUAAUAC